rnacentral:rRNA from 1 species
UGCGCAGGCGGUUCGUUGUGUCGGUGGUGAAAGCCCCGGGCUUAACCUGGGAAUGGCCGUCGAAACUGGCGAACUGGAGUGUGGCAGAGGGGGGUGGAAUUCCGCGUGUAGCAGUGAAAUGCGUAGAGAUGCGGAGGAACACCGAUGGCGAAGGCAGCCCCCUGGGCUGACACUGACGCUCAGGCACGAAAGCGUGGGGAGCAAACA